UACGUAGGGGGCUAGCGUUGUCCGGAAUCAUUGGGCGUAAAGCGCGCGUAGGCGGCCCGGUAAGUCCGUUGUGAAAGUCAAAGGCUCAACCUUUGAAAGCCGAUGGAUACUGCCGGGCUGGAGUCCGGAAGAGGCGAGUGGAAUUCCUGGUGUAGCGGUGGAAUGCGCAGAUAUCAGGAGGAACACCAAUAGCGAAGGCAGCUCGCUGGGACGGUACUGACGCUGAGGCGCGAAAGCGCGGGGAGCGAACAGG
rnacentral:rRNA from 1 species